rnacentral:rRNA from 1 species
GACGGAGGAUGCAAGCGUUAUCCGGAAUUAUUGGGCGUAAAGCGUACGUAGGCGGCCUAUCAAGUCCGGGGUCAAAUCCCGCAGCUCAACUGCGGAGCGGCCUCGGAAACUGGCAGGCUGGAGGGUGGUAGGGGUAGAGGGAAUUCCCGGUGUAGCGGUGAAAUGCGUAGAUAUCGGGAAGAACACCGGCGGCGAAAGCGCUCUACUGGGCCACACCUGACGCUGAGGUACGAAAGCUAGGGGAGCGAAUGGG